rnacentral:lncRNA from 1 species
AUAUAUAAAAAUUAAAUAUUUUAUACCUUUCAGGAAAAAAUAGUAAAGAGAUCAUUAAUUUUGCUUAUUUGAUGAUAGCAAAGUGGAACAAAAAUAAAGCAAAAGUAAUAGGCAUAAUUUAAUAGACACAUACGAGAUGAUAGACACAUUUAUAUACUGGAUUUAUCGAGGGAGUAAAGGUAGUGCAAAUGUAUUAAGAAUAUCUUUACCAUGUAGUUAUAAUACAAUAAAAAAAAAAAUUUUAGAAGUAAUUAAUAUAGAUUUACAAAACAAUUUAGAUAUACUUUUAUAUCAUAACAAUAGAGUAUUAAGUGAAUAUGAAAGUAUUAAAAAUGAAAUGCUUAUAGAAGUACAAAGAAGUAACAUUAAUGUUGUAAAUGAGUUGUUACAAAAUAGUAAUAGAAUUUAUUUGGAAAAAAGUAAAAAUGCUGAAGAGAAUAAAAAUAUACUAUCAAGUUUGAAUGAAGAUGAAAAUAAUCAGUAUAAUAGUAGUAAUAAUACAAAUACUAGUUACGGUAGUAUUAAUAGUAUACAUAAAAAUUUAUAUGGUAAAUCUAAUAGUAUGCAUGAUGUAAACAAAAUUGUAAGAGGAACAACUACAAAAUCUUUAAAUUAUUUACAACACAGUCCUAAUAAAUCAUGGAAUGUAUACAACCGAAAUAAUAUAACAAAUGAUGCCAGUACAUACGAAGAAGAUAUGAAGAUACAAGAAGUAAUGGAAAAGAAUAAUGUAUUCCAAUCUGAUUAUCAUAAAAAAAAAAUGAGUUAUUUUAAAAAAAAUAAAAAUAAUACAAUGUUAUUUCAAAGUAAAAUUAAAAAAAACGUACCAUUUAUGAUUUCAAAAAAAAAUAACCACACAUAUAAUAAUAGUAACAUUAAUACACGAACCGAAAAUGGAAUAAUAAAUGGAAAUAUGAUUUCACAAAAANNNNNNNNNNAUAAUAAUAAUAAUAAUAAUAAAAUUUGUAAUGGUAAUAAUAUAUGACAAUAUAGAAGUAUACUUCACACAAGUCUUGAUCCGUAAGUCAUAUAUAUAUACGUACAUAUAUCUGUUUGUAUAUAAAAAUUAAGUCAAGUGUUACUAUUAUAUGUUAAUAUUUUACCUCCAUAUACACAUAUGUACGUACAUACAUACAGAUGUAUAAACUAAAACUAUCAUGGUAUGUGUUGUCAAAAAGGGGUAAAAAAAUAUGUAUAUAUA